CACGUAGGGUGCAAGCGUUGUCCGGAAUUAUUGGGCGUAAAGGGCUCGUAGGCGGUCCGUCACGUCGGGAGUGAAAACUCGGGGCUCAACCCCGAGCCUGCUUUCGAUACGGGCGGACUAGAGGUAGGUAGGGGAGAACGGAAUUCCUGGUGUAGCGGUGAAAUGCGCAGAUAUCAGGAGGAACACCGAUGGCGAAGGCAGGUCUCUGGGCAUUAACUGACGCUGAGGAGCGAAAGCAUGGGGAGCGAACAGG
rnacentral:rRNA from 1 species